rnacentral:rRNA from 1 species
CAGUCGCCGCGGUAAAACGGAGGGUGCAAGCGUUAAUCGGAAUUACUGGGCGUAAAGCGCACGCAGGCGGUCUGACAAGUCAGAUGUGAAAUCCCCGGGCUUAACCUGGGAACUGCAUUUGAAACUGUCAGGCUGGAGUCUUGUAGAGGGGGGUGGAAUUCCAGGUGUAGCGGUGAAAUGCGUAGAGAUCUGGAGGAAUACCGGUGGCGAAGGCGGCCCCCUGGACAAAGACUGACGCUCAGGUGCGAAAGCGUGGGGAGCAAACAGGAUUAGAUACCCCUGUAGUCCCUGUCUCUUAUAC